AUUGAACGCUGGCGGCAGGCUUAACACAUGCAAGUCGAGCGCGCGGCGGACGGGCGAGUAAUGCUUAGGAAUCUGCCUAUUAGUGGGGGACAACAUCUCGAAAGGGAUCCUAAUACCACAUACUAUCAGAUGUGCCCAGAUGGGAUUAGCUAGUGGGUGGGGUAACGGCUCACCUAGGCGACGCUCCCCAGCCGGUCUGAGAGGAUGACCAGCCAAACUGGAACUGAGACACGGUCCAGACUCCUACGGGAGGCAGCAGUGGGGAAUAUUGCACAAUGGGCGCAAGCCUGAUGCAGCCAUGCCGCGUGUGUGAAGAAGGCCUUCGGGUUGUAAAGCACUUUCAGCGGGGAGGCGUUACCCGCAGAAGAAGCACCGGCUAACUCCGUGCCAGCAGCCGCGGUAAUUC
rnacentral:rRNA from 1 species